rnacentral:misc_RNA from 1 species
AUGGUUGGCCUACAAUGAGACAACUGGGAUGAGACUUACUCUCACUUCCUGGAAAAGUGACAAUGAUCCAUCUACUGGCGAUUUUACUGCUGGUGUGCCACCGCAGACGCUGCCACAAACCUUCGUUUGGAAGGGAUCGAAACCUCAUUGGAGAAGUGGGCCGUGGGACAAAACAAAGUUUAUUGGGAUACCAGAAAUGGAUGCUGAUUAUGAAAGUGGAUUCACACUUAUAGAAGGUCUUCAGCCGGGAAUUGCUUAUCUUAGUGUUAGUAUACUCAGGAAUUGCAGUUACUCGAUGUUCGAGAUUUCACCAACAGGAGUUUUAAGGUUCUUGUGUUGGGUGAAAUUGAGGGGCUGGUAUGCUAGGUGGGAGGCACCCGUCACUCCCUGUGAAGUUUAUGGAGCUUGUGGACCUUUUGGGGUUUGCCAAAGGUAUGAACCAAAUCUAACUUGUAGAUGCUUGAAAGGGUUUGUGCCAAAGUCAGAUGAGGAAUGGAGCAAAGGAAACU